GGGCCCAUAGUUCAGUUUGGAUAGAUUGGCUGCCUGCGGAGCAGUUGGUCGAGGGUUCAAGUCCCUCUGGGCCCG
rnacentral:tRNA from 1 species